rnacentral:rRNA from 1 species
UACGUAGGGUGCGAGCGUUGUCCGGAAUUAUUGGGCGUAAAGAGCUUGUAGGCGGUUUGUCGCGUCUGCUGUGAAAAUCCGGGGCUCAACCCCGGACUUGCAGUGGGUACGGGCAGACUAGAGUGUGGUAGGGGAGACUGGAAUUCCUGGUGUAGCGGUGAAAAUGCGCAGAUAUCAGGAGGAACACCGAUGGCGAAGGCAGGUCUCUGGGCUGUAACUGACGCUGAGGCACGAAAGCGUGGGGAGCGAACAGG